CAGCUGAAAUUUGGGCCUUGUGAUUGGACUCGGGCGCUCAGAGAUAGUGGGCCUAUUUCCAAAUGGGCCCAACUGAAACGACGACGUCUAAAGGAAUACGAUCAAUCAUAGGAGGCAGUCAAACGACGUCGCUCUGCGACAUUUCUGAAAGUAGUAGUUUAUCCAUCUGGUUUCCAAAACAUCUCGUUAUCGGAGCUCCAAAAAAAUGGCCGCGGCCUCGCUCUCGCUCUCUCAACUCUCCUUUCUCUCAAAUUCUACGUCUCGAAGCUUAAUCGCUCCUUCUCUCCAGUCCUCUCCUCACGGACAAAUCCGCUGCCGUUCUCGUUUCCGAUGCUCCGCCGGUCAGACGGGAUUCUUCACUCGGCUUGGCAGGCUGCUCAAGGAGAAGGCCAAAAGUGACGUUGAGAAGAUCUUCUCUGGCUUCUCAAAGACUCGAGAUAACCUUGCUGUCAUUGAUGAGCUUCUUCUGUACUGGAACCUCGCGGAGACCGAUAGAGUUCUCGACGAACUCGAAGAGGCAUUAUUGGUGUCUGAUUUCGGGCCAAGGAUCACCAUUAAGAUUGUGGAGAACUUGCGUGACGAUAUAUUGGCGGGGAAGCUUAAAUCGGGUAGUGAAAUAAAGGACGCGUUAAAGAAGAAUGUUUUGGAGUUGUUGACAGGGAAGGGGAGCAAAACUGACCUUCAACUUGGAUUCCGGAAACCGGCUGUGAUUAUGAUAGUUGGUGUUAACGGAGGUGGAAAGACAACAUCUCUUGGAAAGCUGGCUUUUAGAUUGAAAAACGAAGGGGCCAAGAUAUUGAUGGCAGCUGGUGAUACAUUUAGAGCAGCUGCUAGCGAUCAGCUGGAAAUCUGGGCAGAUAGAACUGGAUGUGAGAUUGUUGUUGCUGAAAGAGACAAUGCCAAAGCAUCUUCAGUUCUAUCACAGGCUGUAAAGAGAGGAAAAGAAGGUGGUUUUGACAUUGUUUUAUGUGAUACAUCUGGACGUCUGCAUACAAAUUAUAGUUUGAUGGAAGAAUUAAUAUCAUGUAAGAAAGCUGUGGGCAAAGUUAUUCCAGGGGCACCUAAUGAGAUCCUGCAAGUAUUGGAUGGGACUACUGGUUUGAAUAUGCUACCACAAGCAAGGGAGUUCAAUGAUGUAGUUGGAAUUACCGGUUUAAUUUUGACAAAACUUGAUGGUUCUGCAAGAGGUGGCUGUGUGGUCAGCGUCGUCGAUGAGCUUGGAAUCCCUGUAAAGUUUGUUGGCGUUGGUGAGGGGUUGGAAGAUCUUCAGCCUUUUGAUCCAGAGGCCUUCGUUGAUGCCAUAUUUUUAUGAUCUGUGUACAAUAUGAUUUCUCCUUUGAAAAUCCACCCACUUUUGCACCCCGAGAAUCAUCAGUGGCACAUGGUGCAAAUUAAGAAGUGGUUUGAACUUGAAGCAGCCUGGCAUUCUAUUGGGUGAGCAAGUAGAAUGCUAUGCUUCUCUCACAUCUGGGUUUACUCGCAACAUUCUCAGAAUUCAGGAGACGAAGCUGAAGAAUAUUGCAGAUAUUUGGAAGCACAGGUUUCUACAACUUUGCAAUUGGCAUGUUACAGAAGCUUCUACUGCAACCUCUGCCUACAUCAAGGUAAUUUCUACACCCAAUAAGAAAAUAAAGCCAAAGAAAAACACAGUAUGUAUCUUGCUAACAUAAUAGUUGGGCCACUCGAGUAAAAAUGUAAGUUAGAGCCAAUUGAUGGUUUUUUACACCUUUUCCUGAGGAUGUGAAAGAAGCUUCAGUUGUCGAGUAGGGUACCUGCUAAGGCCAUUCUUUGCCCAACAAAAUGAUACUAAAAUUUCCCCAAUACUUGCUCCAUAUGGAAUGCCCUGUGGUUAUCUUUUUCGAGGGUCUUACGGGGAAGGGGGGCAUUCGGGUGGCAGCCAAACCGAUUGAGAUCACAAAGAGCGAUCUCUAGAUCACAGAGGGCGAUCCCCAUAGCUGCUAAUGGUAGUUGGCAUUUCACUCUUAGUUGUGGGGUUACCAUGUUUCAACUUUAAUGUCCUCCUUAAGUUCACCUUAUUGACUUCCAAUUUCAGAGAAAAAUACCUCAAACAGUGAGAUAUUAA